CCCAACUCUCAGCGGCGUACUCUUCCCAACGAGGAUCUUGACCUGACGCCGUGUCUUGGUGGGAAAAACAGAUUCGUUACGUCGCCGCGACGCUGUUCCUAACACUCGCGCACGUCGGAUAGAUUUACGCGCGUUUUCAUACUCGAGGAAAAGUGGACCGGAGUCGGGUUCCGGCGAGAUCGUACACACGUCGGAGCAAGGACACGGGUUUAAAAAGAAAGUGGGUGUGACAGAUCGAAACAGAAGGAUGGAAGAGGAUGGAAAGAAGUAGAGAUAGAGAGAUGGAAGAAGGUAGGAAGAACUGACGGGAAGAGAGAAGGAACGAUGGAUAAAAAGAAAGGAAGAAGGGCAGAUGUACAAAAUGAAGAACGGAAGGAUGAGGAAAAGGAGGACUGGAAUACGGAGGCAGGACGGACGAAGUGGGGGGUGGGGGUGGGUGGGGGGGGACGGAUGGAAGGAAGGACACAAAAGGAAGAGUGGGAAAAGAAAGAAAACGAUGGAAGGAGCGCCAGGAAGAAGGGAGAUCAAAAGCGUGAAUGAGUGGAAUGGAGCGAGGGGAAUAAAGAAGGAAGGAAGGAAGAAAAAGGAAAUAAGGAAGGAAGGAGGGAAGGAAAGAAGGCGAGAAGGAAGGAAGGAAGGAAGGAAGGAAAGAAGGAAAGAAGGAAAGAAGGCGAGAGGUAAGGAAGGAAGGAAGGAAGGAAGGAAGAAAAAGGAAAUAAGGAAGGAAGGAAAGAAGGCGAGAAGGAAGGAAGGAAGGAAGGAAGGAAGGAAAGAAGGAAGGAAGGAAAGAAGGAAAGAAGGCGAGAAGGAAGGAAAGAAGGCGAGAAGGAAGGAAGGAAGGAAGGAAGGAAGGAAGGAAGGAAAGAAGGAAAGAAGGAAAGAAGGCGAGAAGGAAGGAAGGAAAGAAGGAAGGAAAGAAGGAAGGAAGGAAAGAAGGCGAGAAGGAAGGAAGGAAGGGCAUACAGACCGAAUGAUAGAAUGAAAGAUAUAAGGAAGGACGGAUUGAAGAAAGCAGCAGAAGGAAGAAUUGAAUGGAUGAAAGGAAUGGCAGAAGGAAGGAGGAAGAGUGAGAAGAAUGCAGGAAGAAGAACUGAGAGUAAAGAAGAAAUGAAAAGACGGAUAGGAAAGCGAAUGUUAGUAAAAAGAAAGAACUGAACAAUUCUGCCACGGUUACAGCUGUAUCUCUCCUUCCUGUUUUCUUUCCUUUCUCUCGCCUCGUCUUUCUCUAUUGUUCUCUGUUUAUCCUGUCUUCUUUCUCUCCUCUUUUCCUGCAUUCUCAUAUCCAUGUCUUUUCUUCAUCCUUCAGUCUGUUAUAUGAAAACUCUCUCUCUCUCUCUGUGUGUGUGUGUGUGUGUGUGUGUGUGUGUGUGUGUGUGUGUGUGUGUGAAAUGUAAACUUUGAAUAAGAGCCGAAAUACUAACUUUCACACCCAUGGGAAAGGAAGUGUUCCAAACACACACACACACACACACACACACACACACACACGCACACACACACACACACACACACACCAAGAAACAGAAGGGUCCAAAUGGAUUGUGUUAAUACUCUGUGUAGCCCGCAAUGCAAUUUUUUCCCAAUUGACCUCCUCACCACCCCCACACACCACACACACUCUCGCCUCAGACGCAAACACACUCAUGUGGAAUACUGAACAGCCACCAGCCACACACACACACACACACACACACACACACACACACACACACACACAGAAUUCUAAAUAACCGAAAAGCCUAUAGGGGAAAAUUCAGACAUAAUGAAACUAUAAACAAAAAAAAAUACAUAAAAAAUGGGGACUAGCAAAAUGCUAAUUAAUGACUUUAUGCAUUUAUAUAUGUAGGCCUAUUUAUGUAUUAAAAAAAAAAAAUCAAUAUUGUCAUUUAUUAUUGAUUUAUUAUUGUUAUAUACUUCAUUAUAUAAUUAUUCAUUACUGUUUGAUUUAUUUCUUUAAAAAACAAAACAAAACAAAACAAAACAACAAAAAAAAACAAUAUUUACCAUCAAAAUAUUUCCACGAGGGCCGUGCUAAAAUACGCUAAAAUAUCUUUGCUGGUUGAUUUGCUCAUUUCCUUGUAUUUGUUUGCAUAGAAAGGUAAACAAAUUAUGCAAACGUAUGCAAAUCAGUCAUUUCAUUUAAAUAAACACAUCUAUAUGAUCAAUAAGACCAAUAAGAGCCUUUUGAUGAAUACAAUUAGGAUUCAAAUAUUUCUUUACUGUGAAGAUGUUCCCAACACUUUUCUGGGACACGGAGUAUUUUGUUGUUGUUGUUGUUGUUGUUGUUGUUGUUGUUUCAUUGUUAAUUCAAGAAAAAAGCAUUCGCAGUUUUCGAUUCUUUACAUUUUUUUUUUUUUUUUUUCGGUUUACGAUUUAACAUUACUCUAUCAAUCAUGAAUAUUUUAGAAAUAAUUCCUCUGUAAUAAUCAUCUAAUUUGGGACAGGAUCGGACGUGUAAAAUUGCACGAAUUCUGAACACACACACACACACACACACACACAAAAAAAAAAAAACGUUUACGUGUUUCUUCUUUAGUAAGGUGUAUAAAUUAAAUCGGCGUGUAUAUCAUAAUGACACGUUUACAUAUAAAGCUAUAUAUAGUGUAUAGUAGAGAUAUGAAAUGACAUGAUUGUGCAAAGUGGGCGGAGCUCAAAGCCUUCUUCAGAGUUGUACAUAACGUGGUAUUUGUGAGAGUCCAAAACCAAAACCGGUCAAAUAAACAUGUUUUAGUUACGUUUUUAAGAGUUUACGAGAUGUUAUAGGUACAACCGAUCCAAAGACAUCGGAACAAUGAUUGAGCAAACUCUGAGUGUUUGUAGCUUUUCGCGUUAUAUAUUUCAAAUGAGAGAAAAUCUGACUGGAACAUUUAGGCUACGUCUCCAGCAAUUACCCCGAAAUCUCCCCGUCGCCUCCGUAUACUUCUCGAAAGUCCGCCAGAGUUCAUUAGUGACUUCAAAAACGGUGAGAGCUGCCUGCUAGCUUUUUUUUUUUUUUUAGAAAAGUCCAUUAUUGAAGCAAAAAAAAAAAAAAGCAGGCAGAGGGAAGAGAAGGGAAGGAAUGAAGAAAUACCAGACAGGUCCUGGCUGCCUCAGGACCUUCAUGCAUCUGUCCAUCUCCUCAUAACAAACCAGACGGCCAUUGUGGUCAGAAAUGUGUGACAUUUUUAAAGAAAGGAGGUUGCCAUCCAGGAGAAAUGUCACCAAGAAACAAAGUUCACAAGACAAACAGCAUGGAAGACCAGGUCUGAUAAAAACCUCAUCUCUGAGAAUAAAGCUACGUCAUUUAUGCGCCAGCGUUUUGUCUUUUGACUAGAAAUAGCGGAAAAACAAUGGCAAGAUCUAUAAAUAUGCAUGAUAUGCAAAUUAGAAAUGCCUCCCAUAUCCCUUAGAGAUAUACAUGGAACUGUUUUUCUCCCCCCCCUUAAGUCCCACUCCUGCUCAUUCCCGAAGGAAUUCUGUCCGGUCCCGUCCAGUCCUGCAGUUAUUAUUUUUGUUUAUACCUUAUUCUCAAAUCAGAAGGCGUGGACUUCUACCUACAUAAUCUACAGCUACUCAUUAUUAAAAAAAAAAAAAAAAAAGUGUUGUUUAACAAAGAAAAACUUAUAGGAAGAGGAAACUUGUCUCGAGGAGGUUACAUAUAAUUAAAUGUUGCUACCAAUGGUUAAAUGUGCAAUGACAUUACUCGAUAAAUUAAAAAUUGUAAUCAUCGCUGAAUCGCCAUGUCACACAUCUAUAUAUAAAUAUCACACGGAAUAUAUCCGGAGUGUGUAUCCUGGGAAAACUGGGCACGAGGCGGGAAUAUACGCCGGAGAGGAUUCCGGUCCAUCACACACGUUGACGACUUGGGGGAAUUCCGAGUCACCAAUCCACCUUCUGGUUUGUUUUGAAGAGGUCGGUGGAAACCAGAAAACCCAGAGGAAACCCACAGGGACGCAGAGAGAAACUUCAAAAAUGAUAUGCAAGGUCACAAUUAAAAAAAACAACUCAAUAACAGUGAUGACUUCUUGUGUCUAGUUUAAAAUCUGUUUAAAUGUUAUGGUUUUUUUUUUAUAUAUAUAUCUUCCGAUUUGACGAUGUAUCGAAGUAUUUCGUAAGUUGACGAAUUCAACAGAAAGCGCAAAUUCACGUAUUUAAUAGAAUAAGUAUUGAUCAAACAGAAUUAUUAAAAAAAAAAAAAAAAAAGAAAUUCUUGGAAUAGAAAAUUCAGUUCCCAGUUUUCCCAGCAUUUAGAAUUAGGAGAACUGUUUUACAACCAGGUUUUAAUCUUCUCUACAGUUCCAUGUUAUAAAAAUGUUUAAAAUAACACUACACCAAUGAUGGAUAACAGCUUAGAUAUAAUUUAAAAAAAUAUAUAUAUAUAUAUAUAUACAUACAUAUUUAUUAGGGAUGCACCGAAUGUUUGGCAACCGAAAUUCGGUGAAAAAAAUAAGUGAAAAGGCCGAAUAAAUUUGACCGAACAAUGACGUGCUUAAUGACGCGCCAAAUAGCCUAGCAACCAGAGUGAGACGUGCGAAUUUCACGACCUCCACUUCGGAGCGAUGAGGGGCGCGCGCAUGCGCGAGCUACGUGCACGAGCGCAUGCUCUUCGGAUGUUGACGACCGUGACAUUGUUUACCGUGGACACGUGCGUUUGUUUAGUUUCUGUUCCGGAGUAUUCCGUCACGUCGCGGGACGUAAGGGAGUAGAGUACGGAAGCAGGUAAAGACGUAUUUAUUUAAAGGCAGGCAGAGAAAUCCGAAUCGUACUCGGAAGAACGUAGUCACAGAAAACAGGGUCACAACACAAAACAAGAAACAUGAGCUAGUGCUAUGGACUGGGAGCGGAACAACCAGCGGGGACUAAACGGACUGAUCUAUAGUUUAAACUAACUAAAUCUAUCAAGGAACAGAACAUUAACAACGUAUCUAACUAUACUGUAUCUACUCUAAUACUCGGCGAGGUGUACAGGGACGCGAGCGGUACAUAUCCCCAGCCGUAUAGAACCCAAUAGAACCAUUUAUCGCACUCUUGUCAAUGCACUUUUUUAUUGUAGGCUUCAGAGUGUUCCAUUCUUUCAGCACUCAGUUACAGGCCUAACACAAUCUAUUCAAGGGGCUCAAAGAUGACCACAUCAAGAUAUUUUUAUUUGACUCAUUUAUUUAUUUAAAGUUAUACCGUGCCUUGUUGGUAGCCCGUGCCUGCUGGAAUGAAAAAAAAAUGUUCAGUGUUAAAUAAAUAUUUUAAAAUUGUAGUUUUUGUAAUUGAUUUUUUUUUUCUUUGAAAAGCAGGACAAAAUAGUAAAAAGCACAUUUUGACUAUUUAAUUUAUGCAACGGUGAAAAAAAUGGUAAAAUAAAUGGAAAAAAAAAAGUGAAAAAACGCGUUCGGUAUUCGACCUUCAGCUUUCGGACAAGUUUUUUAUUAUAUUCGGUUUCCGCUUCCACCAAGAAUUUUCAUUUCGGUGCAUCCCUAAUAGAUAUAUAUAUAUAUAUAUA
ensembl:lncRNA